GAUGAACGCUGGCGGCGUGCCUAAUACAUGCAAGUCGAGCGAACAGACGAGGAGCUUGCUCCUCUGACGUUAGCGGCGGACGGGUGAGUAACACGUGGAUAACCUACCUAUAAGACUGGGAUCACUUCGGGAAACCGGAGCUAAUACCGGAUAAUAUAUUGAACCGCAUGGUUCAAUAGUGAAAGACGGUGUUUCUGUCGCUUGUAGAUGGAUCUGCGCCGCAUCAGCUAGUUGGUGGGGUAGUGGCUUACCAAGGCUAUGAUGGGUAGCCGGACUGGGAGGGUGACCGGCAACAUGGGGACUGAGAUACGGCCCAGACUCCUACGGGAGGCGGCAGUGGGGAAUAUUGCACAAUGGGCGGAAGCCGGAUGCAGCAACGCCGCGUGCGGGAUGACGGCCUUGGGGUUGUAAACCGAUUUCGCCUGUGACGAAGCGUGAGUGACGGUAAUGGGUAAAGAAGCACCGGCUAACUACGUG
rnacentral:rRNA from 1 species